UAGGGAAUAUUGGUCAAUGGAUGCAAGUCUGAACCAGCCAUGCCGCGUGCAGGAAGAAGGCCUUCUGGGUUGUAAACUGCUUUUGCCAGAGGAUAAAAUAGGCGUGCGCGCUUAAUUGAAGGUACCUGGUGAAUAAGCCACGGCUAACUACGUGCCAGCAGCCGCGGUAAUACGUAGGUGGCAAGCGUUGUCCGGAUUUAUUGGGUUUAAAGGGUGCGUAGGCGGUCCCAUAAGUCAGUGGUGAAAUCCUCUAGCUCAACUAGAGAUGUGCCAUUGAUACUGCGGGACUUGAGUGAAGUCGAAGUAGGCGGAAUUGACGGUGUAGCGGUGAAAUGCUUAGAUAUCGUCAAGAACACCGAUAGUGAAGACAGCUUACUAGGCUUAUACUGACGCUGAGGCACGAAAGUGUGGGGAUCAAACAG
rnacentral:rRNA from 1 species